GUGCUUGCUUCGGCAGCACAUAUGCUAAAAUUGGAUCAAUGCAGAGAGGAUUUAGCAAGGCCCCUGCACAAAGGAUGGUGACAGUUUUGUGAAGCUUUAUUACCAUAUCUUU